AGUGAACGCUGGCGGUAGGCCUAACACAUGCAAGUCGAACGGCAGCACAGUAAGAGCUUGCUCUUACGGGUGGCGAGUGGCGGACGGGUGAGGAAUACAUCGGAAUCUGCUUUUUCGUGGGGGAUAACGUAGGGAAACUUACGCUAAUACCGCAUACGACCUACGGGUGAAAGCAGGGGAUCUUCGGACCUUGCGCGAUUGAAUGAGCCGAUGUCGGAUUAGCUAGUUGGCGGGGUAAAGGCCCACCAAGGCGACGAUCCGUAGCUGGUCUGAGAGGAUGAUCAGCCACACUGGAACUGAGACACGGUCCAGACUCCUACGGGAGGCAGCAGUGGGGAAUAUUGGACAAUGGGCGCAAGCCUGAUCCAGCCAUACCGCGUGGGUGAAGAAGGCCUUCGGGUUGUAAAGCCCUUUUGUUGGGAAAGAAAAGCAGCAGGUUAAUACCCCGCUGUUCUGACGUUACCCAAAGAAUAAGCACCGGCUAACUUCGUG
rnacentral:rRNA from 1 species